UAAUAAUCGAGGAAUCAAAAUAUUCAAUUUUAAAAUGCAAGAUUAUUUUCACGAGCAUGAUCAAAUACGAGAGAAAAUCUACAAUUAUAUUAGAUUUGUAGAUUGGAUGCUCAACUUUUAGGUGGAAAGGAGAGAGAAGAAAAUGUGAAAACGACGGAGAAACGAUAGAAUUAGCAUUUGUUCUUCAUCAUGUGAAGCAUCAAACGCAUGAUGAACUACAAGUAAUUCGUUUCAUAACGGAAUGUAUUUAGCUAUGUUACAUUUCAUUUUUUUUCCUCCUGCUAGGGAUUAGCGUCCCUCUUGCUGUAAUUGCAAUUUACAAUUGUAACAGCUUUCCGUUUUUUUUUUUUUGCUAUGUCUAUCUGGUGCAUAAACUACAGAGUCCAAGUUGCAGCAACGCUGACCAACCGUGAAAAAGGAGCUGAUUCAUUACCAGGAGAAUCAAUUUAGGGUGGACAAAAUCCAGGAGAAGCAUUUGAAAUUUCCCUCGUAUGGAGAGUAAGCUGAUAAAAGCAUGAGAACAUUCAAUGUUAUAACUUAAACCAUAAUCAUAUUGACAAUUUUCAUGUUAAAAAA